AUGCGCAACUCCGGCGCCACCGCCGCCUCGGCCCCUCCGGCCGCCACCAUGCACGGCUCCUACGCCGCGCCGCCCGCCUCCUCCGCCGGCUACGCCAAGAUCCCCACCUACCCGCCGCCGCCCUCCUCCUCCCCCAGCCCCAGCCCCGUCCCGCCCGCGGCCCCGGCCCCGAUCCAGGACCCCACGGCGCCGCCCUCCUCGCUCGCCAAGGCGGCCGAGCUCGUCACGCGGUUCCGGGAGCAGGGCCAGGCGCUCAUCGCCGCGCGCCGCCCCUGGGGGGAGGUCUUCCGCUCCCCCGCCUUCUCCAAGCCGCCCAACGUCGGCGAGGCCGUCUCCCGGAUGCGCCGCAACACGGCCUACUUCCGCGCCAACUACGCGCUCGCCGUCCUCGCCGUCGUCGCCGCCUCGCUCUUCUGGCACCCGGGCACCCUCUUCGCGCUCCUCGCGCUCUGCGCCGCCUGGUUCUUCCUCUACUUCGCGCGCCCCGCCGAGGGCGCCCAGCCGCUCCGGAUCUUCGGCACCGAGUUCGACGACGGCACCGUCCUCGCCCUGCUCUCCGGGGUCACCGUCAUCGCCAUGCUCUUCACCGACGUCGGGUGGAACGUCGUCGGCUCGGUCAUGAUCGGGCUCGCCCUCGCGGGCGCGCACGCCGCGCUCAGGUCCACCGACGACCUCUUCCUGACCGAGCAGGAGGCGGCCGGCAAUGGGCUGGUUGCCGCAGGCUUCAGCGCUGCUGGACCCAUCUUGCCCACCUAUGUCCGCAUUGGUUGA
rnacentral:rRNA from 1 species